CCUGAAAAAUAAACGUUCAAUGUGGCCAGCUCUCAGGCACCCAGUGAUGUAGCAAGUGUCAGAAUAGAGCCAGAUAACAUACACUGGCACUGAAACAGCUGAUUCAGGGAAAACCAUAGUCUGUACCACAAAGCUGACCUUCCCCCCCAGACAUAACACAGGCACAGCCCAACAGGAUGGAGGCUGAUUGGACGGCGUAUGGAAAAAACAACAGGGCCCAAAGAACACCAUGGUUCAUCAUGUUUUAUUUUUGGACAACAGUUUCAGUAGUGGACACAGCCACGUAGUGCCUGAAACAUAUUGAUUUCACUCUGCGCUACUCAUGAAGGGUUCAAAGGUGAGCCACACACACAGAUGUUGGGCAGUGUCCACGCAUUCAUACUACAGGGGAAGAUGUCCCUGAAUUUCCCAGCUCGAGUAAAUAUAGCUUGUGUCUAUAAUGGAACAUCAGCUAUGUAUUAUAUUGGGUUAAAAAAUAAGUUUUUUUUAUUUUGUAAAAAUAUCGUACUUGUUAUCUUAAAUAUAAGCAGAUAUCUCUGAACACAAUUUUCACUGCAUCUGCUGUAUACGGAGUACAGACUAUCAGAAGCUUUAAUAGUUUCUUAAACACUUGAAACGUCUGAUGACGGGAGCUCUUAUCUGUAAUCCCAGCUCAUCUCUCUUGGGUCAUCUGAUGUGCUUGACUGCUCUCCGCUCUCAUUGACUCGAAGCCCAUGGGAAAAUGUUGUUACCAUAAUGAACAGACUAAAAAGCAUCACCGCGACACAUCACAGGAAGUUCUAUGCCUGACAGUUGCAGGGAAUACAGAGAGGACCUACAAGUUCAAAGUCCAAGUAUUGUAAAUGUAUACAAUAAAUGAAAAUACAUGCUACACUGGG